GUUAAAAAUUAGUGAAUGUUUGUUCUUUAUUGGAAUUAAAAAAUGUGAAAGUAUUUAGGUUUAAUCCGUGUUAUUUGUGUCAAAUAUUGUUGUUAUAAAAAAUUUUACGGUAACAUUUUUGAAAAUAUAGUAAAAUAGUAUGAAAAUGUAGUCACAAAAGAAUAGUGCAUAAAGUUGAUAUGGAGCCGAUGCAAAUUGGUAAACAUAACCUAUUAAACAAAUUGUUUCAUUUUCUGUUUAAAUAUGUUGAAUAUUUUUAUAUCAUAAGAUUGUUGAAUGUUUAGAACAACAUUUUUUUAAUUUUUCAUUGACACAAAAUUGUUGAUUGUUUUUGUGGUGAGUGUUUUGAAUUUGUCGGAAUUAUCAAUUUUUAAUCAAAUAACAAUGGAAAGUGAACAAAUCAAUUUUUAUAGAUAGAAGCAAAUAUAUUAAUUUUAAUGUGAGAUUCUAUCCUCGAUGGCUUGUGGUGUUACGUACUGCAAAAAUAAGGGCAAAAGUAAUAAAGGGUAUCUUGAAGGACACGGAAUUCUUCAUAUUCAGACUUUUUAGAACUCAGUCUAUUUUUUUGAAAGUAGGGAUCUCCGAGGGCCAUGUAGUUUGAAAGAAUCUCCUUGAAGCUGAAAAUUCGUUAUCAAGGUAAAUAUCUUCGGGAGUGCUUGAAUUUUCAUAUACGCGAACUUUUUUGAGGUUUUAGUUAAUUUUUUUAAUUCCGGGAGUGUUCGAAAUUUUUUAAAUCGUGCUCGUUAAAAUGUUUUGAAAAAGUAUUUUAUUUUCUGUUUUAAACGUGCAGUUUCGGGAGUGUUCGAACUUUUUUAAAUCGCGUGUGUGUUUUCGUCAAAUUUUAUCAUCUGAAACAUAUAAUGCAUCCGAUAUACGCAGCUUAAGAUUAACAGUGCGGCACGUUUUGUUUCGCGGAUGAUAACUGCUUAGUUGGCUCUUUAAAAGGCCCAAGAAAAAAGAAAAGCUUUGGACCUGGACCCCGAAGCUGUAAUUUAGGACCCAUGAU